AUGCUGUCACACACCCAGGUUCUCAUGUCUCUGAUCCUCUGGGUGUCUGGUGCCUGUGCAGAUAUCACAAUGACCCAGUCUCAAUCCUCCUUGGCUGUGUCAGUGGGAGAGAAAAUCACCAUCACCUGCAAGUCUAGUCAGAGUCUUUUUAGUAGUAGCAUCAAGAACUGUUUGUACUGGUACCAGCAAAAACAAGGGAAGUCACCUAAACUGCUAAUCUACUGGGCAUCAACCCGGGAGACUGGGGUUCCUGAUCGCUUCAUAGGUAGUGGAUCUGGGACAGAUUUCACUCUCACCAUCAACAGUGUUCAGGCUGAAGACCUGGCAGAUUAUUACUGUCAGCAGGGUUACCGAUAUCCUUCCACAGUGCUUCAGUCUCCAACAAAAACCUCCUCUGAGAUUCUCACCACCUGUCUACAUCAUGCACAGCCCUGGCCCUAUACACUUCCCCCUUCUGCCUGA